GCGGCGGGCCGGCCAGUGAGUGCGCUGGAGCGAGGCCGGCGGCUACCCGGGCCGGCUGGGCCCUGCACCCGCCUGCCCGCCCGCAUCUCCGCAGGCCCGGCCGGGCCGGGGCGGCGGCCGGAGCCGCGAGGGCCGGUUCCUCUCCCCCGCGGAUGGGGAAAUGGAGGCCCAGAGAGGUUGAGUGACUUGUCAGAGUCACCCAGCUAGGAAGUAUCAGAGCUGGGGUUCACAUCCUGCUGAACUGGCUGAGGAGUUGGGGUCUCCUAGCCCCAGGGCUCUUAACAUAAGCAAGACCUUUGCUUACUGAACACAGGGCCAGCCUCAUGGGUGUGACCUGUGCAGUUCUGAGUCUUCCCUGCCUCAGAAGGACUAGGAGCUUCAUUCAUGCUCAGCUGCCAAUGCCUUGAAAUUCUUAAUUUGCAAACCAGGUGCUCCAAGUCUUCAUUUUGCACUGAGACCCAUGCUGAGCUCUUGAACUAAAAGUCUCUCCAAGAAGCCACCUCACUGUGCUAUGAGGUAGAGGCCCUUGACUCUAUUUUACAGAUGGGGAAACUGAGGCUUGGAAAGCAUUUUGGAAAUUACCCCUCCAGCCUGGGUCCGGUGUCCUGGGUGGGGGUGUGCCCCAGGGUGGUGGGGAAAGCUGGGUGCCCACUGCCAGCAUCCGCUUUGGUGGGGUGCGGGUGAGGCCUGGCUGCCGAGGAGACGGGGCCAUGGCGGGGGGGAGGCCCUGGUGGUUUCCUCCUGCCCUUCAGGCUUCUAGGAAGUGGCGCCAGCUGGGGUGAGCUCACUUCCUCAGCCGCCUGCCCGCCACCCUCUCGGCUUCCUCUCUUCAUGGCCCCAUUUAGCCUGCCCAGGGCUGGGGGGCUGGCCAGGAAAACAGGAGACCUGGAUCUGGGCGUUCCUGCAGCGUCCUCCAGGCACCUCUACUUCUCCAGGCCUAGGAUUGAGGACAUGACUGGGGCAGGGGGUGUCUAGCUGGUGGCCCAGCUCUCCCUUAGCUGCUGCUGCUGCUGCAUACGGGAGAGGGUGUCCCUGUAAGGUCUCAGAGGGUGGCGGCAGGUGGGGACCUGCAGGCAGAUGUCCUCAAACCUCAUGACCUCCUUUGCUCUCUCUCUGUCUCCCCCAGGUGCCAGCCACUGACCCCACCCGGCGUCCCCCUACCCCUGUGCCAUGGCCGGCUGGGGUUCCUGGGGAUGGGAUUUGCUGCCUGUCACAAAUCACAUUGCCAGGGAUUUCCAACCGACCCUGAGCCCUGCCUCUGGGGCUGCCACCACCACUGCCGAGGACACAGCCUGGGGAUGGGGAUGGGGCAGCAGAGAGGCCCCGGCCACUGGUGUCUGGCCUGGGGAGCAGGGCUUAGCUGCUUGUGAGCAGAGUCCACACUAAGUCGUGUUCACAGUGGCUAAGUUCCGCCCCCCGCGCCCCUGCCUCCUCCAGCCCCGCCGCCUCUCUCCCUGACUGUCCCGUUGCCCAGGCCUCCCUGGGCUCUGCCUCCCGUGCCUACUGAGCUGAAACACAGUUGAUUUGUGCACACUGGCUCAGUUCAGCAGGAACAGGAGUCGAGCCCCCUUGAAGCCUGCGGCCCCUGCCUCCCUUGGGUGAGCUGAUGCCUAGGGGCAAGAGACAAGGACCCAGACCCAGGCCUGUGUCUGGAGGAGGCACUGGGGAGGGAUGGUGCCUGGGAUGGGGUGGGUAGACCCAGCUGUUUGCUGUAGGUCCCACCUUCCAGCUCUGUAGUUGGGGACACCCCCACAGUCCUGCCUAUAGCUGGGCUGCGAUCCCAGGGAGAACAGGUAGGAGGGGGGUGGCCUUUCCAUGGAAAAAGGGAAGACAGCUGUGUCCCCACCUGGAUGACCUGCCUAUCCUGGAAGCUUGGCCCCUCCUCUCCCAAGUCUGGUGGGGGCGAGGGCCAGGCAUGCACCUUCCCAGCAGCUAGUUACCCAAGAGGAAGCUGCCUUGGGCCCCCAGACCGUUAAGUGCCAACUCCGGGCUUCCGGAACCAGGCCGUCCUGACCUGCAUGUGCCUGGCCCCUUCUCCCUGAACCCUGUAGCUUCCUAACUUGGGGACAGGAGCUGUCACAGCCUCCCAGCACAUGGUGGGGGGAAUGAGGUCUGUGUGGGCCCAGAAAGAACAUAAGCACUUCUCCCAGGGCAUGGAAAAGUUGAAACUCUGUCCACUAUCAUCUGGGAUGGGGCUCUUUUUGGGGUGGAACUGGGGAGCAGGGUGAAGCCCUUCAGGGCUGGCCCAGCGGGUCCCUUCCCCACUGGUGUCAGGACAGACAGAAGCUCAGGGUAGAGCCGCUGCUGUGUGUUAAACCUGUUGUCUAAUUAAAUAAAAACAGCCCCUGCCUCAUUCCUGAA